rnacentral:rRNA from 1 species
GAUGAACGCUGGCGGCGUGCCUAACACAUGCAAGUCGAGCGAACGGACGAGAAGCUUGCUUUUCUGAUGUUAGCGGCGGACGGGUGAGUAACGCGUGGAUAACCUACCUAUAAUACUGGGAUAACUUCGGAAAACCGGAGCUAAUACCGGAUAAUAUUUUGAACCGCAUGGUUCAAAAGUGAAAGACGGCCUUGCUGUCACUUAUAGCUGGUUCCGAGCUGCAUUAGCUAGUUGGUCAGGUAACGGCUUACCAAGGCAACGAUGCAUAGCCGACCUGAGAGGCUGAUCGCCCACCCUGGAACUGAGACACGGUCCAGACUCCUACGGGAGGCAGCAGUAGGGAAUCGUCGGCAAAGGGCGAAAGCCUGACGGAGCAACGCCGCGUGAGUGAUGAAGGCCUUCGGAUCGUAAAACUCUGUUAUUGGGGAAGAACAGCUGUGUAAGUAACUGUGGACAUCGUGACGGUACCUAAUCAAAAAGCAACGGCUAACUACGUG